AUUGAACGCUGGCGGCAUGCCUUACACAUGCAAGUCGAACGGUAACGGGCCUUCGGGUGCCGACGGGUGGCGAACGGGUGAGUAAUACCUCGGAACGUGCCCGAUCGUGGGGGAUAACGAGGCGAAAGCUUUGCUAAUACCGCAUACGAUCUACGGAUGAAAGCAGGGGACCGCAAGGCCUUGCGCGGACGGAGCGGCCGAUGGCGGAUUAGGUAGUCGGUGGGAUAAAAGCGUACCAAGCCGACGAUCUGUAGCUGGUCUGAGAGGAUGAUCAGCCACACUGGGACUGAGACACGGCCCAGACUCCUACGGGAGGCAGCAGUGGGGAAUUUUGGGCAAUGGGCGCAAGCCUGAUCCAGCCAUGCCGCGUGCAGGAUGAAGGCCUUCGGGUUGUAAACUGCUUUUGUACGGAACGAAAAGCCUUCUUUUAAUACAGGAGGGUCAUGACGGUACCGUAAGAAUAAGCACCGGCUAACUACGUG
rnacentral:rRNA from 1 species